AUGUUUUCUGAUUUGCUAAUGUGUUGUAGCAGCAUAGAUGUGCCAUCCAUGUUAUUUAGUGUCACUGUUUGUUUAGCACCACUAGUGGCCGUCAUGCCGUGGGCUGGUAUAAAAGCAGCCUUCCUCCACCAUCUCUUCCUUUUGCGCUCCUGUCAUUGGUGCGUCACUUCCGGCCCAAGGUUGUCUGGUCCGACAGGUAUGGCCGCUGCUUCACCACGUUGGUCACUCGGUCCUCUCUGUGUGCUCACUGCGUUUGUGUUGCCUCAUAGGGUGACUGCUUGUCGCUGCUCCGGGUUUCCCGUGUGCGCUGUGGUGUAUUGCUUGCUUGGUAAACGCCGACGGCGGCCGGAGUCCUCUCUCCCUCCCUCCUCCUGUGUAAACGAGUGUGUGUGUGUCCGUGUUUGGUCGUAAACACUAAACAGUGGUUUUUUUGGUUGACUUUAUUUUGGUGGAACCCCCCCCCCCUGCACUAGUCAUUGUCCGCUCACUCGGCUCCAAGCCCUUACUUACCAGACGGUCAUCAACUCCGUAAGCCGGGGGACGGACGGACGCUCAUCGCCGUCAACCGGGAGCUCCUAGCAGCCAACCGGGGGACGGACGGACGGACGGACGCUCGUCACUGUCACGCGCGGAGUAUAGCGGCGCUGACCUAGUGGUAUAGCGGCGCAGCGCCGCUGUUCCACCGCCUGGGGAGAACCCUGCUUACCCUUGGAUGAAUGUCAGAAAGACUUUGUUUUAAAAGAGAGAAAUUAUGUAAUAAAAGUGUAUUUUUCUAUAAUAUUUAAACCACGUCUCAUGCCUUUCUAAUGAGUGGCCUUACCUGUGUGCCUUGCACUUUAAAUUAAUUCCCUGGGUGAAAUUCCCAGGGUGGCGUUGUUUUCUAUUUCUUGUUUAGUUCACUUAGUUUAAUUUCCUCUCGCCUAUCGCUCGCUACAGUGUUUUUUGAUUUGUUGUUGUGUUUUCUGUUUUGUUUCCUGAUUUGCUGUUGUGUUUUGCCAUUGUGUUUUUUGUGUGAGACAGCUCUUGUAGGUAGUCUAUAUAUGUAUCUAUAUAUAGGGAUAUGUGCUCUGUUUGUGUAACUAGAAGAGUUAAAAAAAACUUCCAUGUCAUUAUGCAACCCAUAAUAACUCCUACAUGUUACACAAACAUAGCACAUCAGAUCUAUCUGCAAUAAUUUCUAUACACACAGUAUAUUUAAACACAUAUACAUCCAGAAAGUAGUUUUGAAGUGCAUUUUUUUUAACAGCACCAACAACAUGGUGACAUAUGGUUUCAUCCUCACAUUCAAGAUUCAACAUCAAGUAAACAAUGUCCAUCCACUUUGAUUGUGUGUGAGCACCCAGUUUCACUGAUGUCCACCUCUCCUCAUCCCGCCAAGGUCCUGCCAACCAUCCGUCAUUUUGGGUGACACUGGGUGACGGCGGGUUACAUCCUGGUUAAGUUGACAGUGCAUCACAGGGUGGACUUCUAGGGACAAAGAACAAGCCCAGAUAGAACCCACAUAAACACAAGGAGAACAUGCAAACUCCGAACCCAGGACCUUCUUGCACUAACCACUGCACUGCCAUACUGCCCAACUCAGCACCUGUUGAGAUAAAAUAAAGCUUUCUUUGAGGGUACAUCAUUUUGGACAAAAUUCUCUUGUAAGCUAUACUUGGUUUAUAAGCACUUGUUGAUAUACAGUUACAUUUACAGAAAAUACAAAUAAACAGCUAACAGAGUAAGCAGAAAAAUCCACAUCUACCUUUUUCUGCUCAGUAAAAUGUACUAACAUUCUAUAUCCAUAUUGUCCUUACUUGGCCAGCAAAGUAGCAGAAUAUGGUAGGUUUUAUCAAAUGCAGUAAAUUACAGUGAAGCAAACAUCUGUCUCAUACAGUUUUUCUUUUGUGAAACAUUGAUCCACUAAAGUUGAUCUAGACACAUGAAAACAGAAUGGAAACGCUUUUUUUAUUUUUACAACAAACUGGGGCUGCUCUGGCCCCUCACAUCAGGUGUAUUUGUAGUGCUAUGGCUUAGACUGAUUGGUCUACAAUUAGAUUUUUAAUGUUUUCAUGUGUGUGAGUCUGUGUGCUUUUCCAAUUGUAGUAGUGUUUUGUAUUUUACAGUUUUUCUCGAUUGUUUACACACAUUUUCUGAAAGCAUGCCUCAUGCUCUCAGAACUCUACCCACAAAUCAAAAAACACACACACAAUGGGCAAAAGCCCUCAAUUCUCCUGCAAAAUAAAACUUUACCUUCAAAACAAUGUUAUUUCUUUUCAAAAUGGUAUUUUGUUUUCAAAUGACACACACAAAUCAUCAUAUGAAUAGACAUUUAUAAGAACCAGUUGAACACUGAUGUGCUCAAUGUAAAACACUAUGAUGAAUGGAAAACACUUCUUCUUCACUCAUCAUAAUGACUUAGGCCUUUUUUGUUCAGUUACACUUACUACAGUCAGUACAUACAUAAGUGUGUUGUAAAAUAUUUGAAAAUAUUGUUUUUAUACUCAGAACACACAAAUACAUGGUAACAGAUAUUUUAUUUUUCCCACAAAAACAAUGUACAGUGUAUAUCCCAACCAACACAAAGUUGCAUAUACAACAAUAUACGGUCUACAUACAAAACAACAGAAUAAUUUACUGUACAGUUACAGUAAAAAAAUAAAAAAAAAAACUGUGCAGCAUGCUCUCCUCUGUUUCAGUCUGGCCACAGCACCUCAUCCACACCACAAGCCAUGUUUUCCCUGGCCAAGCAGCAAGAGAAAUAUCGCCUAGCAUGGUGAAUGCAGCCAUGAAAAGCACCAACUGCUAUACAGUAUAUCCACAUGUGUCUUCCAUAGCUUGGAGAAGGGGUAUACGCAUUUGUGGAUUUUGGUCAUAAACUUUCCAUCUCCAGGCAGAAAAAAAAUUCUCAACAGAAUUGAGGAAUGGAGAAUAUGGAUGGAGAUAAACAACUAUAAAGCAAGGGUGGGCAGUGAACCAGUUAUGAACCAGAGCAGCCCAGUGGAAACUUACGUUGUUCCAAAUGACAACAUACCUGAGAUGAUGUGGGGUCCGUUUCACAAAGCAGGUUUAGUGAAAACUCUGAGUCUGUUAACCCUGAAAUGAGGGAAACUCUGAGUUUUCCGUUUCACAAAGGGAGGUAACUCAAACCAGAGAAAGAGGGGUAACUCUAGCCUGUUUCACAGAGAGAGGUAACUUAAGCUCUCGGUCAGUUACCAUGGUAACAUACUCUCUGAAACUUAUGGAAGCGAAUUUGUACCAUAAUUCAAAUUAAAAUGCAUUUACAGAAAUGCUUUUUCAUUUUAAGAAUGUAGCUGCAUUUUUUGACUCAUAAAUAAAAUUAGUAAUAAAUCAUCCAAAUUGCAUUUUCAUUUUCUUCUUCAAGACUGCUCAUUUUGUAACUUAAUUCAAAUGAUAAAGAAAAGGACAUUUAAGAUUUAAUAUUCAAAAGAUGGCCCAGCAAAUAGGUACCAAAAUUCAAUUUGAAAUGUCAAUUUGAAAAUUAAAAUGCAUUAGCAGAAAUGCUUUUUCAUUUCAAAGUCAGAGCUGCAUUUUUUGACUCAUAAAUAAAAUUAGUAAUAAAUCAUCCAGAUUGCAUUUUCAUUUUCUUCCUCAAAACUGCUCAUUUUGUUACACAAAGACAAAGAAAACUGCUUUUUCGU
rnacentral:lncRNA from 1 species